rnacentral:rRNA from 1 species
AACGAACGCUGGCGGCAUGCCUAACACAUGCAAGUCGAACGAGACCUUCGGGUCUAGUGGCGCACGGGUGCGUAACGCGUGGGAACCUGCCCUUAGGUUCGGAAUAACUCCCCGAAAGGGGUGCUAAUACCGGAUAAUGUCUUCGGACCAAAGAUUUAUCGCCUUUGGAUGGGCCCGCGUUGGAUUAGCUAGUUGGUAGGGUAAAAGCCUACCACGGCGACGAUCCAUAGCUGGUCUGAGAGGAUGGUCCGCCACACUGGGACUGAGACACGGCCCAGACUCCUACGGGAGGCAGCAGUGGGGAAUAUUGGACAAUGGGCGAAAGCCUGAUCCAGCAAUGCCGCGUGAGUGAUGAAGGCCUUAGGGUUGUAAAGCUCUUUUACCCGGGAUGAUAAUGACAGUACCGGGAGAAUAAGCUCCGGCUAACUCCGUG